rnacentral:rRNA from 1 species
GACGAACGCUGGCGGCGUGCCUAAUACAUGCAAGUUGAGCGCUGAAGGUUGGUACUUGUACCGACUGGAUGAGCAGCGAACGGGUGAGUAACGCGUGGGGAAUCUGCCUUUGAGCGGGGGACAACAUUUGGAAACGAAUGCUAAUACCGCAUAAAAACUUUAAACACAAGUUUUAAGUUUGAAAGAUGCAAUUGCAUCACUCAAAGAUGAUCCCGCGUUGUAUUAGCUAGUUGGUGAGGUAAAGGCUCACCAAGGCGAUGAUACAUAGCCGACCUGAGAGGGUGAUCGGCCACAUUGGGACUGGGACACGGCCCCAACUCCUACGGGAGGCAGCAGUAGGGAAUCUUCGGCAAUGGACGAAAGUCUGACCGAGCAACGCCGCGGGAGUGAAGAAGGUUUUCGGAUCGUAAAACUCUGUUGGUAGGGAAGAACGUUGGUGAGAGUGGAAAGCUCAUCAAGUGACGGUAACUACCCAGAAAGGGACGGCUAACUACGUG